rnacentral:rRNA from 1 species
GUUUGCUUGCAAACUAAAGAUGGCGACCGGCGCACGGGUGAGUAACACGUAUCCAACCUGCCGAUAACUCGGGGAUAGCCUUUCGAAAGAAAGAUUAAUAUCCGAUAGUAUAUUUUCUCCGCAUGGCGAGAAUAUUAAAGAAUUUCGGUUAUCGAUGGGGAUGCGUUCCAUUAGUUUGUUGGCGGGGUAACGGCCCACCAAGACUACGAUGGAUAGGGGUUCUGAGAGGAAGGUCCCCCACAUUGGAACUGAGACACGGUCCAAACUCCUACGGGAGGCAGCAGUGAGGAAUAUUGGUCAAUGGACGAGAGUCUGAACAAGCCAAGUAGCGUGAAGGAUGACUGCCCUAUGGGUUGUAAACUUCUUUUAUAAAGGAAUAAAGUCGGGUAUGGAUACCCGUUUGCAUGUACUUUAUGAAUAAGGAUCGGCUAACUCCGUGCCAGCAGCCGCGGUAAUACGGAGGAUCCGAGCGUUAUCCGGAUUUAUUGGGUUUAAAGGGAGCGUAGAUGGAUGUUUAAGUCAGUUGUGAAAGUUUGCGGCUCAACCGUAAAAUUGCAGUUGAUACUGGAUAUCUUGAGUGCAGUUGAGGCAGGCGGAAUUCGUGGUGUAGCGGUGAAAUGCUUAGAUAUCACGAAGAACUCCGAUUGCGAAGGCAGCCUGCUAAGCUGCAACUGACA